rnacentral:rRNA from 1 species
UACGAAGGGGGGCUAGCGUUGCUCGGAAUCACUGGGCGUAAAGGGUGCGUAGGCGGGUCUUUAGGUCAGGGGUGAAAUCCUGGAGCUCAACUCCAGAACUGCCUUUUGAUACUGAAGAUCUUGAGUUCGGGAGAGGUGAGUGGAACUGCGAGUGUAGAGGUGAAAUUCGUAGAUAUUCGCAAGAACACCAGUGGCGAAGGCGGCUCACUGGCCCGAUACUGACGCUGAGGCACGAAAGCGUGGGGAGCAAACAGG